GAUGAACGCUGGCGGCGUGCCUAAUACAUGCAAGUCGAGCGAACGGACGAGAAGCUUGCUUCUCUGAUGUUAGCGGCGGACGGGUGAGUAACACGUGGAUAACCUUCCUAUAAGACUGGGAUAACUUCGGGAAACCGGAGCUAAUACCGGAUAAUAUUUUGAACCGCAUGGUUCAAAAGUGAAAGACGGUCUUGCUGUCACUCAUAGAUGGAUCCGCGCUGCAUUAGCUAGUUGGUAAGGUAACGGCUUACCAAGGCAACGAUGCAUAGCCGACCUGAGAGGGUGAUCGGCCACACUGGAACUGAGACACGGUCCAGACUCCUACGGGAGGCAGCAGUAGGGAAUCUUCCGCAAUGGGCGAAAGCCUGACGGAGCAACGCCGCGUGAGUGAUGAAGGUCUUCGGAUCGUAAAACUCUGUUAUUAGGGAAGAACAUAUGUGUAAGUAACUGUGCACAUCUUGACGGUACCUAAUCAGAAAGCCACGGCUAACUACGUG
rnacentral:rRNA from 1 species